rnacentral:rRNA from 1 species
UACGGAGGAGGCAAGCGUCAUCCGGAAUUAUUGGGCGUAAAGCGUCCGUAGAUGGUUUUGUCAGUCUGCUGUCAAAGCACAGGGCUUAACCCUGUAAAGGCAGUGGAAACUACAAGACUAGAGUGCAGUAGGGGCAGAGGGAAUUCCCAGUGUAGCGGUGAAAUGCGCAGAUAUCAGGAAGAACACCCGUGGCGAAGGCGGCUCUCUGGGACGGUACUGACGCUGAGACGCGAAAGCGUGGGGAGCGAACAGG